rnacentral:rRNA from 1 species
GACAGAGGGGGCAAGCGUUGCUCGGAAUUACUGGGCGUAAAGGGCGCGUAGGCGGGAUGGCAAGUCGGUCGUGAAAUCCCUCGGCUCAACCGAGGAACGUCGAUCGAUACUGCUGUUCUUGAGGAUUGCAGAGGAGACUGGAAUUCCCGGUGUAGCGGUGAAAUGUGUAGAGAUGGGAGGAACACCGGUGGCGAAGGCGGGUCUCUGGGCAAUUCCUGACGCUGAGGCGCGAAAGCGUGGGGAGCAACAGG